rnacentral:rRNA from 1 species
GGCCUAACACAUGCAAGUCGAGCGGUAACAGGGGUAGCUUGCUACCCGCUGACGAGCGGCGGACGGGUGAGUAAUGCAUAGGAAUCUGCCCGAUAGUGGGGGAUAACCUGGGGAAACCCAGGCUAAUACCGCAUACGUCCUACGGGAGAAAGGGGGCUYCGGCUCCCGCUAUUGGAUGAGCCUAUGUCGGAUUAGCUAGUUGGUGAGGUAAAGGCUCACCAAGGCAACGAUCCGUAGCUGGUCUGAGAGGAUGAUCAGCCACAUCGGGACUGAGACACGGCCCGAACUCCUACGGGAGGCAGCAGUGGGGAAUAUUGGACAAUGGGGGCAACCCUGAUCCAGCCAUGCCGCGUGUGUGAAGAAGGCCCUCGGGUUGUAAAGCACUUUCAGCGAGGAAGAACGCCUAGUGGUUAAUACCCAUUAGGAAAGACAUCACUCGCAGAAGAAGCACCGGCUAACUCCGUGCCAGCAGCCGCGGUAAUACGGAGGGUGCAAGCGUUAAUCGGAAUUACUGGGCGUAAAGCGCGCGUAGGUGGCUUGAUAAGCCGGUUGUGAAAGCCCCGGGCUCAACCUGGGAACGGCAUCCGGAACUGUCAGGCUAGAGUGCAGGAGAGGAAGGUAGAAUUCCCGGUGUAGCGGUGAAAUGCGUAGAGAUCGGGAGGAAUACCAGUGGCGAAGGCGGCCUUCUGGACUGACACUGACACUGAGGUGCGAAAGCGUGGGUAGCAAACAGGAUUAGAUACCCUGGUAGUCCACGCCGUAAACGAUGUCGACCAGCCGUUGGGUGCCUAGAGCACUUUGUGGCGAAGUUAACGCGAUAAGUCGACCGCCUGGGGAGUACGGCCGCAAGGUUAAAACUCAAAUGAAUUGACGGGGGCCCGCACAAGCGGUGGAGCAUGUGGUUUAAUUCGAUGCAACGCGAA